rnacentral:tRNA from 1 species
AAAGAAGUAAAAAAUUACAUUUAGUUUCGACCUAAAAUUAGGAAUUAAUAAACCCAUGUUUU